rnacentral:lncRNA from 1 species
ACCGCUCUGGCCUGAAUGAUUGCAGUAGCCUCCUCCCCAUUCUCCCUGCCUCCACUGCUCCUCUAGAGAGAUCGGAGACCUCUUCCACUCGCUUGCCUGGGGAUGAAAUGCAGCCUCCAUAUUGCCGCCCCCAUCUGUCAUUUCCAUUGCAGUCAAGUUGGCUUGAGAUCUGUCCCCUCACAUGACCCUCCCCUUCCUGCCCCCAAACCUUUGCAAAGAUCCUUAAACCCCAGGCCUGAAAUGUCCCCCUUCUUCAGCUCCACGUCACCCUGAGGAACCCUCAACUGCCUUCAGAGCUCUCCUGGGGCACCUCCUUCCAUUCAAGGUCUCCCUCUGCGGGUUCUGCUCUUCCCUCCCUCGCUUAUCCUCCCCAUCCUCUACACGUUCUCCUGCCCAGCUCUGCCUUUCUCGGCACUCAGAGCCCCGCCCCAGCUCAAGGGCAGCUGCCUCUUCUCACACUUCUUUGGAAACAGGGAGAGCUACAAGUGGCCCCCUGGCCUGAGGGGCUGGCCGGGAAGGAUGGAGCCAGAGCGGGGCUGAGAUCGCUUCAACACCACAACCAAGUUGGUUCCUGGCUGUGCAGAAGGAGAAGGGAACAAAUAGUUAUCCAGUGUCUACUGUGGACCAGGGAAUGUGUCAAGCGCUUUGCACAUUUUUUUUCACAGCAACCCUGUGAAUUUCGAGACUUCUUCCCCUCUUCCUUCUCUCCAACCCACUGAGGAGGCAAGAAAAACGAAGUUGAUUUCAAGCAUGUGCAGUCUUGGAGAACAAAUCCGUGCAGUCUCCAUGUCUAAAAGACAGCCAGAGAAGAAAACCUGCUUCAGCCUGCGCUGAGUCCAUCAGCCCUCUCCAGAGGGGGACAGCUAGUUCAUCACGCGUCCUUUGGACCCGGGGCAGGGCCUUCUUUCCUUGGAUCUGCAGCCUCCCUUCUUAGCAUGGCGGUUGGUACCUCGCUGGUGAUGAACACAUGUUUGCUGGCUGAUGCUGAGCAGCAGGGAGGGAUGCAACAUCUUUGGGGAGAUUGAAAAGAAAAGUCAAAUGAGGGUGAUGGUGCUUGAAGGGGGUUUUAAUCGAUGUGAGGAAGGAGGAGAGGAGGAUAGAAGGGCCUGUGUUUGCUCAGUAAAGUCGGAGGCUUGGUAAUCUGGUGUAAAUGGGUGAGGCAGGGCUGACUAAUGGUCAAGGGGAGGAGGAGAUGUUGGGAGUAGACACAAGUACUAGCAGCUCUUUUAGCGAGGGGGUGCCCAAGAUAGAGGAGGCUCUCUGAGUACCAGGGAGGGCCCAGCUCCACUUAUGUCUUGUUCUCUCUCUUCAGUGCCCUUCUGUGGUCUUGGAGAAGGAGCCCAGAGAUCCUCCCAGUAUGGGAAUUCCAGGUGAGGGACGGGUUGGAUUUUCUGGCUCCUGAGGAUUUUGCACUGAAGAGAGUCUGUAAUUAUUCCAUAGAAAGGCUACAUUCUGAUCUGUGACGUGUACUCACAGGUGUCCCAUUCUCCUAGCCACCAGGUUCUUUGUUGUUGCUCAGUCAUAUUUGAUCAUCAUAUUUUUUCAGUCAUAUUUGACUCCUCAUGACCCCAUUUGGAGUUUUCUUGGCAAAGAUCCUGAAGUGGUCUGAAAUUUUCAUCUCUAGCUCAUUUUACAGAUGAGGAAACCGAGGCAAACAAGGUUAAGUGACUUGAUCAGGGUCAUACAGCUAGUAAGUGUCUGAGACCAGCUUUGAGGUCU